UUUUGGAGCAUGGCACACUGAUGAAUGCAAGUGGAAAUGAAUGAAAGUUUGUUUGAUGUAAGUGAAGAAGGGUUUACUGGAAGAAGGAGAACGUGAUGAAGGGCAACUACUGCGAAUGAAAGAGGUGACAAUUGCUCUCUUUGAAGUGAAGACCCUAGGGCUUGUGGGUUCUGAUUCUAAAUAAGAAAGGAUAAUAGAGUAUUGGAC
rnacentral:lncRNA from 1 species